AUAUGAGUAUACAACCAAAAUUCCCCAAAUAAUUAUGGUUUCAGGAGUAUUCACCAUUUACAAUUUUCAUAACAAAAUAAGUACUAUUCAGAGUUUUCUAAAUUCUUCAUGAUAUUCACAUCCAACAGGUAUUCUAUCAAUUUCAUUGUUGUGAAGAAGUUUCUCCCUGAAAUUUUUGACUGCUUUCAAUCUGGAGUGAUUUUCUUCUACACCUGAGGGACAGUGAUUGUCCCUUAUACCAUUUGGGGAUUCCCUUAUGUAUCUUCUUUGUUGGAUCUUAGAACUACUUCAUGUAUCUCAAAGAGAAGAAAUGUUAUAACACAGGGAAUUGGUUACACAGGUGAGGAAGAACUAAGCAGAUAAAUAGGAUGGUGAAGCAGCCUAGAGUUUAGUGACAGCGGGCAUCUGCUACCACCCCUCAGUGGUAUUGAUCAGGCUCCAAUUCCACUCCCAUGGUCCCUGGCUCCAGUCUCUCAUGGUCUUCCUUUUCUGUUCUCUUCCUUGGCCACAUAUGAAAUUGGCUUUGGGAAAUUUGCCCGUUUACAGGACUGAACAGCUUUCUCAGUGCACUUUCUGUCUGUACAUAGCUGGGUCUUAGCCUAGGUAGCCACAACUUCACAAAAUAACACGGGAGAUUGCUUGCACCCAGAAGACAUCUCUGAAGAAGUCAAUGUAACCACUGUGUCUCAGUCCAUUUUGUGGAGGAAGAGUGUGCAAUUUAUCUGCUGACACCUCCCAUCUUCUAUCUCUCAUUAGAGUUCACCUAAUAGGACACUAACUUCUUCAUAUUUCUGGGUUGUGUUAACAGAUGCCAUUGGGCAGACACUGGAGAAGCCAGAACCUCCAUGGAUCCAGACAUAUGAAAGCUGAAAGAAUUUAUCACCAGCAGACUCACCCCACAAGGAAAUGUUGAAGAAAAUUCCUUAGGCAGAAAGAAAAUGAUACCAGAUGACGAUCUAGAUUACACAAAGUGAAUGAAGAGCAAUGGAAAAAUGGCAACUAUGUGGAUAAACGUAAAGACAUCUAGAUGCUGCCAAUUCCUGAGUUCUUUGCUGGAGCAGGGCAGGGGAUGCUCUUGCAAUGCUAGACAGGAGAUGCCAAUACAGUCUCAAGUGUCCACCUGAUACAAGUAGCUCACUCUUCAUCAGCAUCUCUCUCCAACCCAUUGUCCAGUCCCUUCCAUGUCUGUUUCAGGAAGAAGCUUUGCGGGAAACAUCGACAGCCAGUUCCUUGAUGAUUCCCUGAGCAUUGAGUGAGGCAUCCUGCUGUGCCUGUGCUCUCUACUUGGACACUAAGAAUAACAUCUGGAGUCUUCUUUGAGCAAAGAAAACAUGCCAGUGUUUGGAGAGGACAAAACUUUGAGAAUACAAAUUUUUUUGAAACAAACUUGAAUGAAGGAAGCCACUGGUAUGUACUUUUAAAAGCUUGGGAGAAAAUCCAGAGCCUUGAGGCUGACGCUAAAUACAGUCUAACAUGUGGACACAUGUUUGAAUGCUGGCUUUCCAGGGCUGUGAAUACCUUCCUUGCACCUGCUAUGAAGCUCAAAAUAAAAACAAAAAAAUGCCCUUUUGCUCAUAGGAAGCAAAAUGGCAGAGAUCAACUGGAGUAUAUCCCUUUAAGCUUAACAGGAAAUGAACACAAUGCAAUGUCAAAAUGAACAAAGGCACUCUGCCUCUUACAAUGUGCUUACCACCCAAAUGCUUGCAUUAAUGUUUGCAUCUUGGAAAUUUUUGAGCUCCUGUUGUAAACCCCACUUAUUUAUAAGAAUCAGAACUGAAGUAUUUGAUCUUGAUUCCUUGGAGAUUCAGAGAGAACCAAGUCACACAAGCUCUAGGGCUUAACUCACAACCUAGACAAUGAUAGCAAAGUUUGUAUACAUCUGUCAGAAAGUGAUGUAGUCAGGAAAAUGCAGGUAUGUAGUAAGCUAACUCUGUUUCAUCCAAUAAGUCAUAUCAUUAGCAUAGGUUUGUUCACAGGAAACACAGAGAGAAUUGGUGUGGAUUCCAUGCAGUGCAGUCUUGAGAAGACAUUUUCAAUACUGCAGGAGGCUUAACUUUUAUUUUUCCUGCUAGGAACUUCAUGGUCUUGUGAAUUAUUUUUUUGGCAAAAUGUAAAAAUACAAAGAAUUGCUGUUGUGGAUUCCUUGACAUUUCAGGGAGGACUGCACAAGGUUCAAAGCUUUGAUUCUUGUCCUCGAUAAUGUGAACAUUUAGAAGCUUCUCUGAGUGUUCACUUUAGCCAGACUUCAAGUGCAAUGAAUUAAUUUACUACUAUUUUUUUCUCUUUUGGUAUUAAAAAGGUCAACAGCAAAUACUGAAUUGUUUGCUCAUGUGGAUCCCUAGAAUUUUCACAUAGAAUUUAAAUUCCAGUUCUAGAAAUCUAGACCAGUGUUUGCAAGCUUCUCUGAGUACUUGUUCCAGUCAGGUAUAACUUCAAGGGAGUGUGCUAACUCCUCCAUUCCACCUGCCUCCAGGCAUAGGAAGUAUAUUUACAUGGAAUACCGGGAAUAGAUUCCUAACAAUUUAGGAAGAUCUGUGAUGUCAAUGUUGGGGAAGUUUCUUUCCUUGGUGAAUAUGGUUGUGUUUGAAGUGCAAUGAAACGUUGUAUUAACUGCUUCACUGACACUUAUGCCUCUAGCAACACUUUGUGAGAACUAGACUUGGGUUGUCCUUUGUAAAGGUUACCUCUAGGAUAAAUAGUUGAGGUUUUCUUUCUACGCCCCUCUUCAAACCGACAAGAGUUGAUCAGCCAAGGAAACAGAUUGGGUCACCUUUGUUAUUUAGGUGGAUUCCUUGUGUAUUAAAUGGCCACUGUACAAGUAUGUGAUGGAUUUUCUCUUCUUCCUUCUACACAGCCCAAAGAGACAUUUUCCUUGGGGUAAAGCCUGGCUAUUCAUAAGGUUUUCACUGGCUAAUGCUUUUCAGAAGUAGACUGCCGGGUCCUUCUUCCUAGUCUGUCUUAGUCUGGAAGCUCAGCUGAAACCUGUCCUCCAUGGGUGACCCUGCUGGUAUCUGAAUACCAGUGGCAUAGCUUCCAGCAUCACAGCAACACCCAAGCCCCCACAGUAUAAGAAAUUGACAGACACGUGAAUAACAUUGCUAAGGAUGGGAAUUCCAGAACACUUAAUUGUGCUCAUGAGGAGCCUUUACACACAUCAAGAGGCAGUUGUUCAGACAGAACAAGGGGAUACUGUUUGGUUUAAAGUCAGGAAAGGUGUGCGCUGGGGUUGUAUCCUUUCAACAUACCUAUUCAAUCUGUAUGCCAAGCAAAUAAUCCAAGAAGCUGAACUAUACGGAGAAGAACGGGGCAUCAGGUUUGGAGGAAGACUCACUAACAACACGCUUUAUGCAGAUGACACGAUCUUGUCUGCUGAAAGUGAAGAGGAUUUGAAGCACUUACUAAUGAAGAUCAAAGACCACAGCCUUCAGAAUGGAUUACACCUCAACAUAAAGAAAACAAAAGUCCACACAACUGGACCAAUAAGCAACAUCACGAUAAACAGAGAUAAAAUUGAAGUUGUCAGGGAUUUCAUUUUACUUGGUUCCACAAUCAACAGCCAUGGAAGCCCAAGCAGCAGCCAAGAAAUCAAAUGAUGCAUUCAUUGCAUUGGGUAAAUCUGCUGGAAAAGACCUCUUUAAAGUGUUGAAAAGCAAAGAUGUCACUUUGAAGACUAAGGUGUGCUUGACCCAAGCCAUGGUAUUUUCAAUUGCAUCAUAUGCAUGCGAAAGCUGGGCAAUGAAUAAGGAAGACGGAAAAAGAAUUGACGCCUUUGAAUUGUGGUGUUGGCGAAGAAUAUUGAAUAUACUAUGGACUGCCAAAAGAACAAACAAUCUGUCUUAAAAGAAGUACAACCAGAAUGGUCCUUAGAAGCAAGGAUGGUAAGACUGUGUUUUACAUACUUUGGACAUGUUUUCAGGAGGGAUCGGUCUUUGGAGAAGGACAUCAUGCUUGGCAAUGUACAGGGUCAGUGGAAAAGAGGAGGACCCUCAAAGGAGUGGAUUGACACAGUGGCUGCAACAAUGAGCUCAAGCAUAACAACUAUUGUAAGGAUGGUGCAGGACCGGGCAGAGUUUCGUUCCGUUGUACAUAGGGUGGCUGUGAGUUGGAACUGACUCGACGGCACCUAACAACAGCAACAACAAAGCCUGGCUAUCUCUUCUAAAGCCUUCUUUUUGCUUCCAUGUAUUGGAAUGGUAAGGGGGCCAGGACCUUUGUCUAGAAGUGAGAAGAUCCAGUUAUAUAAUAACAACAGCAAUAAUGAUAGCAGACAUUUAGUGUGUGCUUAUUAUGUGUUAGACAUUGUUUUAAGUGCUUUACAUAUAUUGAGUCAUUUUCUGUGUCAUUGUCUUCUCUCUGUCCUCUCUCUUUCAUGUGUAUAGCAAUACUGGCCAUGGCCUGGACUGCCAUGGUGAUGAGCAAUGGGGAGAAAUGCUGUCUCUGUUGUUCACUUUUUUUUUGGAGGGUGGGUACAUUUCCUCCUGUAAGUUGCCUGAAAUCAUAAUGAUCAGGUUUGGGUUUUGGGGGAAACAGAUUGUGAUCUGCUUUUGUCUCAAACUAUUUAGACCUCACUAACUUAAUAGGUUCAGGAGCCCUGGUGGUGAAGUAUUUGAGAGCUAUGGCUGCUAACCAAAAGACCGGCAGUUCGAAUCCAACAGCUGCUCCUUGGAAACUCUGUGGGGAGUUCUAAUCUAAUAGGAUCUCUAUGAGUUGGAAUUGACUUGAUGGCAAUGAUUUUUUUAAAUUUUUGAAUUUUAGCUUAAUAGGUGGAGUCCCUGGAUGGCACAAAUGUUUAAGCUCUUGAGUACUAACCAAAAGGUUGGCAGUUCAAAUCCACUCAGAGGCAUCUUGGAAGAAAGUCCUGGCAGUAUACUUCUGAAAGAUCAUAACCGUUGAAAACUAUAUGGAGUGCAGUUCUACUCUAAAAUUCAUGGGGUUGCCAUGAGU